ensembl:lncRNA
AACAGAUGUCCUUUCUCCGGGAUAAUUCGAUAACAAGGUAAAAAAGCUCUCCGUAACCAUGGUGAUGGACAGUAAGGAGGCUAAGCAUGACGUGCGUGUAGAAGUAACCCUAUCUGAAGGCCCAGACCGGCGGCGGCCGGGUAAAUUCCAGCCAUUCCGCCGCCUGUUUGGGAGGAAGAGGAGGAGGGAGACAGAGCGAGGGUUUGAGGAAACCGAACUUAAACCCAGCCACUCCACCGAUGAAGUGUGCAAUGGAGUGGUCUCAGGCCCAGAAGAGUCCAGUCAGCAUCUAAGAGAGCUAAAUCCCCUGGGGUCUCGAGCUUUUUCACACGAGAGCAUCUUCAUCCCUGAGGAUUCUGUAGAGAAGCCGUGCUCAGAACUGACCAUGUCUCAAGAGAACGUCU